GACGGUCUUCGGUGGUGGCUUCCGCAAGCGGCAGCUUGCGGUGGCUUCGAUCGACGGCCGUG
rfam:Segniliparus rugosus ATCC BAA-974 genomic scaffold acqcO-supercont2.1, whole genome shotgun sequence.